AACGCACAUUGCGCCCUUUGGUAUUCCUUAGGGCAUGCCUGUUCGAGCGUCAUUUCAACCCUCAAGCCUAGCUUGGUGUUGGGCGUUUGUCCCGCCUCCGCGCGCCUGGACUCGCCUCAAAAGCAUUGGCGGCCGGUUCCCAGCAGGCCACGAGCGCAGCAGAGCACGCGCUGAAGUGGCUGCGGGUCGGCGUACCAUAAAGCCCCCCCACAUCAGAAGUUUGACCUCGGAUCAGGUAGGGAUACCCGCUGAACUUAA
rnacentral:misc_RNA from 1 species